UGAAAUCGUUGAAGUGGAACCGGAGAGAGUUGACGUAGUAUGGUGGAUAAGUAUUGCAAGAAUCGCUUCAAACAAUGAAUGUGAUCGAGUAAUAUGUACGUCACCAAAGACUGCGCUGACAGCAUCGACUACACGCUCUGAACUGUGUUGACAUGUUGCCUAUUCUAGUAUAUAGAAUGGUGUCUUGUGUUACGUGGUGAAGUUUGUUGUUAUGUUGUUGAUGUUGAUAAGUAUGAUUAUACAYCRAGUAUAAUUAUGUCAGUGUAAAAGUCAACCACCUCUCCGACCCGUCUUGAAACACGGACCGAGGAGUGUAACUUGUACGCGAGUCAUUGGGUGGAAAAACCUUAAGGCGAAACGAAAGUGAAGGCACGGUUAACCGGCUGACAUGGGAAACGUGCGGUAUUGUUAGCGAGACGUUACACCAUGGCCCUGUCUUGUCUGCAUGCAGAUGGGCAGCGGUAGAGCGUACAGGUUGCGACCCGAAAGAUGGUGAACUAUGCCUGAGCAGGACGAAGUCAGAGGAAACUCUGGUGGAAGUCCGUAUCGGUUCUGACGUGCAAAUCGAUCGAUAGACUUGGGUAUA
rnacentral:rRNA from 1 species